CAUGCAAGUCGAGGGGAAACGAUAUUGGAAGCUUGCUUCCGAUAGGCGUCGACCGGCGCACGGGUGAGUAACGCGUAUCCAACCUGCCCAUCACUUGGGGAUAACCUUGCGAAAGUAAGACUAAUACCCAAUGACGUCUCUAGAAGACAUCUGAAAGAGAUUAAAGAUUUAUCGGUGAUGGAUGGGGAUGCGUCUGAUUAGCUUGUUGGCGGGGUAACGGCCCACCAAGGCGACGAUCAGUAGGGGUUCUGAGAGGAAGGUCCCCCACAUUGGAACUGAGACACGGUCCAAACUCCUACGGGAGGCAGCAGUGAGGAAUAUUGGUCAAUGGGCGAGAGCCUGAACCAGCCAAGUAGCGUGCAGGAUGACGGCCCUAUGGGUUGUAAACUGCUUUUAUAAGGGAAUAAAGUGAGCCUCGUGAGGCUUUUUGCAUGUACCUUAUGAAUAAGGACCGGCUAAUUCCGUGCCAGCAGCCGCGGUAAUACGGAAGGUCCGGGCGUUAUCCGGAUUUAUUGGGUUUAAAGGGAGCGUAGGCCGGAGAUUAAGCGUGUUGUGAAAUGUAGACGCUCAACGUCUGCACUGCAGCGCGAACUGGUUUCCUUGAGUACGCACAAAGUGGGCGGAAUUCGUGGUGUAGCGGUGAAAUGCUUAGAUAUCACGAAGAACUCCGAUUGCGAAGGCAGCUCACUGGAGCGCAACUGACGCUGAAGCUCGAAAGUGCGGGUAUCGAACAGGAUUAGAUACCCUGGUAGUCCGCACGGUAAACGAUGGAUGCCCGCUGUUGGUCUGAAUAGGUCAGCGGCCAAGCGAAAGCAUUAAGCAUCCCACCUGGGGAGUACGCCGGC
rnacentral:rRNA from 1 species